rnacentral:rRNA from 1 species
CGGUAGCUAAUACCGCAUAACGUCGCAAGACCAAAGUGGGGGACCUUCCGGCCUCAUGCCAUCAGAUGUGCCCAGAUGGGAUUAGCUAGUAGGUGGGGUAACGGCUCACCUAGGCUACUAUCCCUAGCUGGUCUGAGAGUAUGACCAGCCACACUGGAACUGAGACACGGUCCAGACUCCUACGGGAGGCAGCAGUGGGUAAUUUUGCACAAUUGGCGCAAGCCUGAUGUAUCCAUGCCGCGUGUGUGAAGAAUGCCUUCGGGUUGUAAGCACUUUCAGCGGGAAGAAAGGCGUUAAAUUUAAUAACCUUGUCUAUUGACGUUUACCCGCAGAAAAAGCACCGGCUUAACUCCGUGCCAGCAGCCGCGCUAAUACGGAAGGUGCUUCCGUUAUUCGGAAUUAUUAGCGUAAAGCGUACGCAGGUUGUCUGUAAAGUCGGAUGUGAAAUUCCCCCUGGUUCAACCUGGGAACUGCUUUCAAAACUGUGAAGGCUUAGAGUUCUUGUUUAGGGGGGGGUAGAAAUUCCAGGGUGU